rnacentral:rRNA from 1 species
GCAGUCGAACGAUACUCUUUAGCUUGCUAGAGAGGAAAGUGGCGCACGGGUGCGUAACGCGUAUGCAACCUACCUUAAUCAGGGGGAUAGCCCGAAGAAAUUCGGAUUAACACCGCAUAAAAUCACAGUACAGCAUUGUACAAUGAUCAAAUAUUUAUAGGAUUAAGAUGGGCAUGCGUGACAUUAGUUAGUUGGCGGGGUAACGGCCCACCAAGACCACGAUGUCUAGGGGAUCUGAGAGGAUGACCCCCCACACUGGUACUGAGACACGGACCAGACUCCUACGGGAGGCAGCAGUAAGGAAUAUUGGUCAAUGGAGGCAACUCUGAACCAGCCAUGCCGCGUGCAGGAAGACAGCCCUCUGGGUCGUAAACUGCUUUUAUUCGGGAAUAAACCUACUUACGUGUAAUUUGCUGAAUGUACCGAAGGAAUAAGGAUCGGCUAACUCCGUGCCAGCAGCCGCGGUAAUACGGAGGAUCCAAGCGUUAUCCGGAUUUAUUGGGUUUAAAGGGUGCGUAGGCGGCUUUUUAAGUCAGGGGUGAAAGACGGUGGCUCAACCAUCGCAGUGCCCUUGAUACUGAAGAGCUUGAAUGAAUUAGAGGUAGGCGGAAUGUGACAAGUAGCGGUGAAAUGCAUAGAUAUGUCACAGAACACCGAUUGCGAAGGCAGCUUACUAUGAUUUUAUUGACGCUGAGGCACGAAAGCGUGGGGAUCAAACAGGAUUAGAUACCCUGGUAGUCCACGCCCUAAACGAUGAAUACUCGCUGUUAGCGAUACACAGUUAGCGGCUAAGCGAAAGCGUUAAGUAUUCCACCUGGGGAGUACGGUCGCAAGAUUGAAACUCAAAGGAAUUGACGGGGGCCCGCACAAGCGGAGGAGCAUGUGGUUUAAUUCGAUGAUACGCGAGGAACCUUACCCGGGCUUGAAAGUUAGUGAAUCAUUUAGAGAUAGAUGAGUCCGCAAGGACACGAAACUAGGUGCUGCAUGGCUGUCGUCAGCUCGUGCCGUGAGGUGUUGGGUUAAGUCCCGCAACGAGCGCAACCCCUAUGUUUAGUUGCCAGCACGUUAUGGUGGGGACUCUAAACAGACUGCCUGUGCAAACAGAGAGGAAGGAGGGGACGACGUCAAGUCAUCAUGGCCCUUACGUCCGGGGCUACACACGUGCUACAAUGGAUGGUACAGAGGGCAGCAAGCUGGUAACAGCAAGCAAAUCUCCAAAAGCCAUUCACAGUUCGGAUAGAGGUCUGCAACUCGACCUCUUGAAGUUGGAUUCGCUAGUAAUCGUAUAUCAGCAAUGAUACGGUGAAUACGUUCCCGGGCCUUGUACACACCGCCCGUCAAGCCAUGGAAGUUGGGGGUA